rnacentral:rRNA from 1 species
AACGAACGCUGGCGGCAUGCCUACACAUGCCAAUUGAACGGGCUCUUUGGACCUAGGGGCGUACGGGUGCGUAACGCGAGGGGACCUGCCCUUAUGUUUGGAAUAACCCCUCCAAAGGGGUGCUAAUACUGGAUAAUGUAUUAGGAAGAAAGAUUUAUCGCCGUUGGAUGGGCCCGCGUAGGAUUAGGUAGUUGGUGGGGUAAAGGCCUACCAAGGCGACGAUCCUUAGCUGGUCUUAGAGGAUGAUCAGACACACUGGGACUGAGACACGGGCCAGACUCCUACGGGAGGCAGCAGUGGGGAAUAUUGGACAAUGGGCGCAAGCCUGAUCCAGCAAUGCCGCGUGAGUGAUGAAGGCCUUAGGGUUGUAAAGCUCUUUUACCCGGGAUGAUAAUGACAGUACCGGGAGAAUAAGCCCCGGCUAACUCCGUGCCAGCCGCCGCCGUAA